CGCAGGCGGUUAUGUAAGUCAGAUGUGAAAUCCCCGGGCUUAACCUGGGAAUGGCAUUUGAGACUGCAUGGCUAGAGUGUGUCAGAGGGGGGUAGAAUUCCACGUGUAGCAGUGAAAUGCGUAGAGAUGUGGAGGAAUACCGAUGGCGAAGGCAGCCCCCUGGGAUAACACUGACGCUCAUGCACGAAAGCGUGGGGAGCAAACAGGAUUAGAUACCCUGGUAGUCCACGCCCUAAACGAUGCCUACUAGUUGUCGGGACUUAAUUGUCUUGGUAACGCAGCUAACGCGUGAAGUAGACCGCCUGGGGAGUACGGUCGCAAGAUUAAA
rnacentral:rRNA from 1 species